GGGUUGUGAGGUUAAGCGACUAAGCGUACACGGUGGAUGCCCUGGCAGUCAGAGGCGAUGAAGGACGUGCUAAUCUGCGAUAAGCGUCGGUAAGGUGAUAUGAACCGUUAUAACCGGCGAUUUCCGAAUGGGGAAACCCAGUGUGUUUCGACACACUAUCAUUAACUGAAUCCAUAGGUUAAUGAGGCGAACCGGGGGAACUGAAACAUCUAAGUACCCCGAGGAAAAGAAAUCAACCGAGAUUCCCCCAGUAGCGGCGAGCGAACGGGGAGCAGCCCAGAGCCUGAAUCAGUGUGUGUGUUAGUGGAAGCGUCUGGAAAGGCGCGCGAUACAGGGUGACAGCCCCGUACACAAAAAUGCACAUGCUGUGAGCUCGAUGAGUAGGGCGGGACACGUGGUAUCCUGUCUGAAUAUGGGGGGACCAUCCUCCAAGGCUAAAUACUCCUGACUGACCGAUAGUGAACCAGUACCGUGAGGGAAAGGCGAAAAGAACCCCGGCGAGGGGAGUGAAAAAGAACCUGAAACCGUGUACGUACAAGCAGUGGGAGCACGCUUAGGCGUGUGACUGCGUACCUUUUGUAUAAUGGGUCAGCGACUUAUAUUCUGUAGCAAGGUUAACCGAAUAGGGGAGCCGAAGGGAAACCGAGUCUUAACUGGGCGUUAAGUUGCAGGGUAUAGACCCGAAACCCGGUGAUCUAGCCAUGGGCAGGUUGAAGGUUGGGUAACACUAACUGGAGGACCGAACCGACUAAUGUUGAAAAAUUAGCGGAUGACUUGUGGCUGGGGGUGAAAGGCCAAUCAAACCGGGAGAUAGCUGGUUCUCCCCGAAAGCUAUUUAGGUAGCGCCUCGUGAAUUCAUCUCCGGGGGUAGAGCACUGUUUCGGCAAGGGGGUCAUCCCGACUUACCAACCCGAUGCAAACUGCGAAUACCGGAGAAUGUUAUCACGGGAGACACACGGCGGGUGCUAACGUCCGUCGUGAAGAGGGAAACAACCCAGACCGCCAGCUAAGGUCCCAAAGUCAUGGUUAAGUGGGAAACGAUGUGGGAAGGCCCAGACAGCCAGGAUGUUGGCUUAGAAGCAGCCAUCAUUUAAAGAAAGCGUAAUAGCUCACUGGUCGAGUCGGCCUGCGCGGAAGAUGUAACGGGGCUAAACCAUGCACCGAAGCUGCGGCAGCGACGCUGAUGCGUUGUUGGGUAGGGGAGCGUUCUGUAAGCCUGUGAAGGUGUGCUGUGAGGCAUGCUGGAGGUAUCAGAAGUGCGAAUGCUGACAUAAGUAACGAUAAAGCGGGUGAAAAGCCCGCUCGCCGGAAGACCAAGGGUUCCUGUCCAACGUUAAUCGGGGCAGGGUGAGUCGACCCCUAAGGCGAGGCCGAAAGGCGUAGUCGAUGGGAAACAGGUUAAUAUUCCUGUACUUGGUGUUACUGCGAAGGGGGGACGGAGAAGGCUAUGUUGGCCGGGCGACGGUUGUCCCGGUUUAAGCGUGUAGGCUGGUUUUCCAGGCAAAUCCGGAAAAUCAAGGCUGAGGCGUGAUGACGAGGCACUACGGUGCUGAAGCAACAAAUGCCCUGCUUCCAGGAAAAGCCUCUAAGCAUCAGGUAACAUCAAAUCGUACCCCAAACCGACACAGGUGGUCAGGUAGAGAAUACCAAGGCGCUUGAGAGAACUCGGGUGAAGGAACUAGGCAAAAUGGUGCCGUAACUUCGGGAGAAGGCACGCUGAUAUGUAGGUGAAGUCCCUUGCGGAUGGAGCUGAAAUCAGUCGAAGAUACCAGCUGGCUGCAACUGUUUAUUAAAAACACAGCACUGUGCAAACACGAAAGUGGACGUAUACGGUGUGACGCCUGCCCGGUGCCGGAAGGUUAAUUGAUGGGGUCAGCGCAAGCGAAGCUCUUGAUCGAAGCCCCGGUAAACGGCGGCCGUAACUAUAACGGUCCUAAGGUAGCGAAAUUCCUUGUCGGGUAAGUUCCGACCUGCACGAAUGGCGUAAUGAUGGCCAGGCUGUCUCCACCCGAGACUCAGUGAAAUUGAACUCGCUGUGAAGAUGCAGUGUACCCGCGGCAAGACGGAAAGACCCCGUGAACCUUUACUAUAGCUUGACACUGAACAUUGAGCCUUGAUGUGUAGGAUAGGUGGGAGGCUUUGAAGUGUGGACGCCAGUCUGCAUGGAGCCGACCUUGAAAUACCACCCUUUAAUGUUUGAUGUUCUAACGUUGACCCGUAAUCCGGGUUGCGGACAGUGUCUGGUGGGUAGUUUGACUGGGGCGGUCUCCUCCUAAAGAGUAACGGAGGAGCACGAAGGUUGGCUAAUCCUGGUCGGACAUCAGGAGGUUAGUGCAAUGGCAUAAGCCAGCUUGACUGCGAGCGUGACGGCGCGAGCAGGUGCGAAAGCAGGUCAUAGUGAUCCGGUGGUUCUGAAUGGAAGGGCCAUCGCUCAACGGAUAAAAGGUACUCCGGGGAUAACAGGCUGAUACCGCCCAAGAGUUCAUAUCGACGGCGGUGUUUGGCACCUCGAUGUCGGCUCAUCACAUCCUGGGGCUGAAGUAGGUCCCAAGGGUAUGGCUGUUCGCCAUUUAAAGUGGUACGCGAGCUGGGUUUAGAACGUCGUGAGACAGUUCGGUCCCUAUCUGCCGUGGGCGCUGGAGAACUGAGGGGGGCUGCUCCUAGUACGAGAGGACCGGAGUGGACGCAUCACUGGUGUUCGGGUUGUCAUGCCAAUGGCACUGCCCGGUAGCUAAAUGCGGAAGAGAUAAGUGCUGAAAGCAUCUAAGCACGAAACUUGCCCCGAGAUGAGUUCUCCCUGACUCCUUGAGAGUCCUGAAGGAACGUUGAAGACGACGACGUUGAUAGGCCGGGUGUGUAAGCGCAGCGAUGCGUUGAGCUAACCGGUACUAAUGAACCGUGAGGCUUAACCUUACAACGCCGAAGCUGUU
rnacentral:rRNA from 1 species